rnacentral:lncRNA from 1 species
CUUUCUCGGCAGCGCCGUAGAGCGCGAGCAGACGGUGCAGCAUGGCGCACAGCGGAGGCCGCGGGCGGCCGAACCCGGCGUGUCCUUGGGCGUUUCCAGGUGCAACAAAACCUGCUCAUUUGAAGGUGCUUGAACAAAUAUUUUCUAAACACUUGUCAUGGAGAGUGAUUGAAACAAGCUGCCAGGACUACAUUUGCCAAUAACAAGCAUGUAGGUGGCUGUAGUGGAUGUCCAACUUUGGGAGCUGUGAUGUCUAAAAACCCUUUAUUGUUUUGGGUGCAGCUUACAUAUUGGAAGGUAAAAUGAAGGCCAUGAACAAAGUCAAGAAGCCAUAAACAGAAGCAAAUGGUGAAAAUUAAUAUCUAAUUUAAUAUUAAUAAGUUAUAUAUAAAUAAACAGUUAUUCUUAAUUGCUGUGGGCAGUAAUUUCUUUAAAAUGUCAUUCUCGUAGUAAAAUAAACUCGUCUUUCAUGA